rnacentral:rRNA from 1 species
CCUACGGGUGGCAGCAGUGGGGAAUAUUGGACAAUGGGGGCAACCCUGAUCCAGCCAUGCCGCGUGUGUGAAGAAGGCCCUCGGGUUGUAAAGCACUUUCAGUGAGGAAGAACGCCUGGUGGUUAAUACCCAUCAGGAAAGACAUCACUCACAGAAGAAGCACCGGCUAACUCCGUGCCAGCAGCCGCGGUAAUACGGAGGGUGCGAGCGUUAAUCGGAAUUACUGGGCGUAAAGCGCGCGUAGGUGGCUUGAUAAGCCGGUUGUGAAAGCCCCGGGCUCAACCUGGGGACGGCAUCCGGAACUGUCAAGCUAGAGUGCAGGAGAGGAAGGUAGAAUUCCCGGUGUAGCGGUGAAAUGCGUAGAGAUCGGGAGGAAUACCAGUGGCGAAGGCGGCCUUCUGGACUGACACUGACACUGAGGUGCAAAAGCGUGGGUAGCAAACAGGAUUAGAUACCCGUGUAGUC